rnacentral:rRNA from 1 species
GACGAACGCUGGCGGCGUGCUUAACACAUGCAAGUCGAACGGAAAGGCCCUGCUUUUGUGGGGUGCUCGAGUGGCGAACGGGUGAGUAACACGUGAGUAACCUGCCCUUGACUUUGGGAUAACUUCAGGAAACUGGGGCUAAUCCCGGAUAGGAGCUCCUGCUGCAUGGUGGGGGUUGGAAAGUUUCGGCGGCUGGGGAUGGACUCGCGGGUUAUCAGCUUGUUGGUGGGGUAGUGGCGUACCAAGGCUUUGACGGGUAGCCGGCCUGAGAGGGGGACCGGGCACAUUGGGGCUGGGAUACGGCCCAGACUCCUACGGGAGGCAGCGGUGGGGAAUAUUGCGCAAUGGGCGGGAGCCUGAUGCAGCAACGCCGCGUGCGGGAUGACGGCCUUCGGGUUGUAAACCGCUUUCGCCUGUGACGAGGCGUGAGUGACGGUAAUGGGUAAAGAAGCACCGGCUAACUACGUG